UCUAAAUGCCUUUUUCUAUUUUCAUUCUUACAGGGUGGUUGCAAACUGAGAAAUAGGUUGGGCUCAAAGUCCAAAACCACAAGUGCAAGUUGCAUCAAGCCUGUGCAAACUACAAACAACAGAACAGUUGCUCACAUUUCUUUUGUUCACAAAGGUCUUUUUGUUCCUCUAAAUGUAAGCAUUCUACUGUAUGGAGGUCUUUGAGCCCAUUCUGGUGCAUCAGAAUAAGACGUGGGAUGAAGCCCUGAACUACUGCAGACAGAACUACAUUGACCUGAUACCAAGUUACCCAAUUCAGCACAGUAUUCACAGCACUCAAGGAACCAAAGAAGGAGCCAAAGAAGAAUCCCCACCACCUCACCAGUGCCAGUCACAAUCAUGGAGGAGACCCUGCAGCUGCCAUGGAAUCCGGAGGGAAUAUGGAAGAGAGAGAGAAAAAAAAAAAAAACCUUUUGGGGACUUAAGAGUAAUUUUUAUGACCAUAAUUGAGUACUAUAUAUAGUGUUACAAUUUGUUACUUUAAAUGUUAAAAGUAAUUUUAAUUCAAAUACAUUGGACGUUUUAACCAAGUCAGUGGAAUUGUCAGUGUGAUAGCGUGCCUUCUCCGGUUUAAAUUUGAAGCUACAAUAGAAAUAUGCUGUUUUGAAUGAAUGUUUUUUAUGUCUAUAUAAAGUGGUUGCAUAUUGUUAAAACAAGUCAUGGUAGUGAUAUCUUUGUAGCACUGACGACUCUAUAAAUCAGUGGCAAAGUAAAGCAAAU